AUUCAGGAAAUGAAGCCAGGGGCUAGCAGCUCCACUUCCAUUUUCUUUCUAUUGCAAAAGCUCAUAUUGGCCUCAGCAGUGAACUGCUUUCACUUCUGCCUAAAUUCUGGGAAAGUUGAUGCAACUUUGCAGCUUCCUCCAGCCCUUUGGUUGAGAUGUGUCAUUGGCAGAAGAGGUAUCAUUUGGCCUUGGCUCCGUCUCUAACUGGCCAUCAGCAUGACCUUGAACAUUCUUUGUUGCUGGGUUCUUCUACAUAACAACAAGAAGAGGGAGUUCUCUGAUGAUGGAUGCAGGCACCUGCUGAGCUCUGCACACUGUCUGCCAUUGGCUUCUCUGUUCCCUUGAUCCAGAGGGCUAGGCAAGGGCGGAUGAUAAAGACAUCUUGGUCAAGGAAGCUCAUCCCAUUUCACUACUGCCAAAUACUCACUGGACACCUGAGUUUGGUUAUGGGAGAGCAACUGGCUUUCCCUGAUAAUAAGGAGCAGAAAUUAAAUUCUCUUGAAAGGAUUUGAAAGGAUCGGCACCUUGAAGCAGGUCGCAGUAUGCAUGAAUAGACAUAUUCCUUAGCCUCUCUCUACUCAGAUUUUAUGUUCAUCUGUGGAUCAUAGCCUGGCCUCAUGAAAAACUCAAGUCUCUGCUUGACAUGAAAUGUAUACUGGCAUUUUAUAUGUAAUAUUUGCCCAGUUAGUACAUUUGCUGAUAGCUACAGAAAAAAAAAUAUACCAAAACUUUUGUUUCUGUAUCUUUCCAUUAUCCACUCUGUUUUUCUCCCAUAGUUGAACCACUGCCAUUACCUUUUCUGUACCCUUCUGGAGCUUAUUUAUGCAAAUGCAAAUGUAAAUGAAUAAAAAUGUUCCUUUUUUCUUUUUCAUAAAAAAGGUAGCAUGUUACAUAACACUCUGCACUUCAUUCUUCGAUUUAUGUAUCUUAGAGAAUUUUUUUUAAUACAUGGAGUGUUCUUUCAACAAAAAUGUCUUACAAAAUGUGUAUUGUAAUAUUUAGAUGAUCCAUACUUUAACAAGAUCCUAUUGAUAAAAUUAUGGACUAUUUCCAGUCUUUUGGGGUUACAAACAACAUUGCAGUUAAUAACCUUACACAUGCAACAUUAAAGUAGAAGAAAAUACUAGAUGUAGAUUUGUUGAGUAAAAAAGAGAUGCAUCUUUUAUUUGGAAAAAUAUUGACAAUGUAAUCUCACACACUGCACAUAGGCCUAAUAGAAUUAUUAGCCCUCCCCUUUGUCAUCUCCCCUGAAGCUAAUAAUUACUAG